UAGCAGCACGUAAAUAUUGGUGUGAGAAUAGACCCCAACCCCAAUAUUAGCUGUGCUGCUUC
ensembl:miRNA